rnacentral:lncRNA from 1 species
UCCCCCACCUCCCUUACCCUCUCUUAGCUUCUAUAGUGCCUCUCCUCCGUAGCUUUUUCCCACCAUUUUGUGAGUAACUCGUCCUUGGCUGUGUGCUUCUACCUAGAUCCGAGCCAUCUUUGUUUCAAGGUUCCUCGAUUUGGGGUUGGUUUGUGGUUUGGUAAGGUUUCAUGGUUGCUGGUGGUUGGUUUCACUUCCAUUAGCUUGUUUUUCAUGGCAGUGAAGCUCAUCUCGACUUAUUUGGUGGCUGCGUAUCCUUGCACGUUCAGAUCUGGCGAACCUGCUGCCUAGGCGUUCAAAUCUGAUGGCGUCGCUGUCUAAGGUGUGGUUUUGGUUCGUGACCUGCUCGUUGAGAUGAGCUGACCGAUGGUCCUUUCUCGAAGUAGUGUUUGAUUUUGUAAUGUUUGAUUCUGUUGCCUCGCCCUAUGAAUGUUGUGGUGGCGUGUUUGUGAUGGUUGGAUGUUGUCUUCACUUUAUGCGUUGAGUUCGUGGUCUCGUCUUUCAACGAUGACUUUAUUUGGUGUCGCUCUAUUGCAAUGAUUUUAUGUGGCCUCACAUUUAUGCGAUGACCUAUGCAAUCGCUAGUAUAAGUCUGUUGCGGCUAUCGUGUUUUUGUAACAGAUUUGUAUUGAUGACGAAGUGUUUGUGGUAGCCGUAUAGGGGUUUACUAUUGUUUGUUUUACUACGCAUAUUUACUCUAGAUCAAUUUCUUGGUCACUGGAGCUUAUGUACCCAAUUGUCAACCUUUGUAAUUGUUUUUGUAGUUCAAUGAAAUACACACUAUCGUUUCUUGUAAAAAAUAAAUAAAAAAAAUUUAAAAAAACCUACUAUUUUUUCAUCUACAUUCAAUUAUCCAUAUAUCCAUACUCCACCUCUUAACUUAAAUUUUUGCAGAACUAAUUUCAGGGCUGGGAUUAUGUAUGCUGAUGCCUCCAGGGAUAGUGAGACAGGAGGCGAACAAUUAAGGUCAAAUGUGUUCUCUCUGAGUGGAACUGGAUUUUUCGGGGCCAUUGGACGAGCACAAACUUGG